rnacentral:lncRNA from 1 species
CAUGUGACCUGCAGGAAGCAAAGGGAUGGAAAUGAAAGAGACUGCCAAUAUUUGUCUCCUGGCAGUUAAACCCUCCCUUGAAAGAACUGAACAUUUUGGAGAUUCUGAUUGAAGAAAUCUCUGUUAUCCCACAGUUUCCAUCAUUUCCAACUAUAUCCCAACACCAGUAUAAAUCCCAGGUGAGUUUUAGUAAGUGCUCUCAAAGACCAAUGGGUAACUUCCUAGGUGCUCACUUACCAAGAUUUUUGCAUGGAAGAGAAGAUACUGGAAAUGCUAUGUUGUUCAUCAUAGCCUCCAAUUAAUUCAUAGUCUAAAACACUCCUUUAAGUUGUCAUAUCUGUGAAGCUCCUUUCCUCAAGCAAAACCAGAUGGCGUAAUGCAUCUAUCCAAACCAACCCAUUAGCUUCAGUGUUUUGUUCUGUUUCUGUUUUUUGGCAAUGUCACUUUCAUCCCACCUUUUGAAAUUGUGAUUCAUUCUCUCUGGCUUUGCAAUGCCUUUCAGAUUAUAUUCUGAGUACUGUCUUACUCAUUAAAACAUUUGUCUCCUCACUAUAAAUCAUGACUUGGCUUUCCCUCUAGCUAACUUGUCUUAAUGUAUCUUGGAUAAAUUCUGUGUAUGUUUAGAUCUGGACAAACAUACAACUAUGUCACUGAGAUGAACUUCCACUAAGAUAAUUCUGUUUUCCAGUGGGAACUAAAAAACAAUUGAUGGCUUCAAAAUUCAUGAAGUAUUUAUUGAGUACCUGACAUGUAACAAUGUAUUGUGGUGAAGAUAUGAUGGUAAACAAGAAUGAUAUUCUCUCUCCUUUCACAGAGAAUUUAGUUUUAUGAGAUAGAAAGGCAGGUCAAAGUUGUCUUUUUUUUUUCUUUCUUUCCCAUAAAAUAAGUAAUGCUAUUAAAAGGAAUUCCAGGAUAUCAGGGGAAAAUCUAUGCAUAUAUAAUGAGAUGGAAGGGGAUCUCUAACUAGUUAGAAUAUAAAUGGAGACCAAAGAAUGUGCUGAAGUUGUAACUUUAAAGGAUUGG